AUGGCGAGCACUCUGCAGAGCCUGGGCUUCUUCGUCGUACGCCGGCGUCCCUGCUAGUGCCUGCCGUUGAACUCUCCGGCCACCAUUGAUCCGACCUCCCCUAAGCCAUCGAUGAGUAGAGAAAAACAGUGAACGCCACCUCUGUACUCGCCCCACCUUAUGGCGCGUCGCUCCUGCAGUACCGGCCCACGCUCUGCGCGGCGCUCAGGUGUUACGGCUGCCCUCAAAUCCGUCGUCGGACCAUUGGCACUGGGGCAAGCAAAAGCACGGACAGGUGCUCGGCGUGCUGCAACGGCUUCCGAUUUGCCCGGCUAGAUGAAAGACGGCUGGGGAGCAUCUUCUCUGGGGAACACCGCGCGUCAUGGGUGCCUUGCCGAAGUUCAGGGACGGCGUGAUUGCUCAUCGUCGUUCAUGCUCCACCGUGGCGCCACCCAUCUCCGUGGGCAGUGGGCUGCAUCGUCCAAUCGACCGGUGAGUGGCCUGUAACGAGUUCGUUGUGCUCUCGGCUUCAUAUUUCCAUCAACCAACAUCAGAAAUCGCGUGUGUUGCACCAAGAUUGGUCCUCUCUAGUCCUGGCUACCACCGUGGUGGCUCUGUGCGCCGCCGAAUAGAUGACCAGGGGAGGAAGAAAGGGGUGAGUCCGUUGGAUUUCGAUCCAGCGACUAAUAUUAGAUCGGGUUAAAAUUAGAUGUGGUUCGUUCGAUCUAAAUGGACGGGCGGGAUUUUAAGUAGCAUCCCCUUCGCUUGAUUAAAUCAUAGCCGUCGAAGUUCGAUCUGGCGGCCGCGAGGUGAAUUGCGCGCGUUAAACCGAGACCCUUGGAUUUAGAUCCGAUGGUUUAGAUCGCAUUCCGGAUCGGCUGAUUGCGGAUCUAAUCCUAGCGGCCAGAUGUUGAUCGUGCGGCCAGGAACGCAGAAUACCCCUUCGCCGUGCCUAUUUGAUAAAGAGUCCCUGGACUUCUUAGUAAUAAACCCGCGGUCCACAGUGGCUGUGCGCUGAGUCUAGUAAUUCUUGCGUAGAGACCCCUAUAUUUAUCUGUUUUUGUGCGCGCAGUCCAAACAGAGAUUAAAUCAGGAAAUUAAUUUAAGAAAUGAAUUUUUAAUAUGAAAACAAUUCCAGAACUUGUAAAAUUCAUAUAAAAUUUAUUUUAACUCAUUUUUAACCCAUUCCAGUUCCUAUAAUUUGGUAAUAUUAUUGUUUAUCACCUAGUGCCACUGUUUUAGCAUGAAAACUAUAUUAAAUUUGAUCACCUAGUUAUUCUCGUACCAAACACAUAAAAUCUUCAAAAAAUCGUAACUUCUCCGUUUUGAUUCCGAUUUGUUCCGUUCCAGUUGCGUUAGUCUCAUAGAAACGCGUAGAUCAUUAUUAUUCAGUAUAUUCUUAUGUUUGGUGUAAUGUUAAUUUUAUCUAUACCAUGUUUGUUUGUAUUGCUACGACUAGCGCGAGGACACGUGUCAUCUGAAAAGCAAGUUGGUACCUGAAAUCUCAAGUGCCAGGCAAGUUGUGCCCUUGAUCACUUCUUUUACCCACUCAUGUUCUAAUUAAUCAUAAUGAUCUGCAUAGGUUAAUUUUGAUGGGACCUAAUAGGAUACCCUAGUUUGUCUAUCUUUAUGCCUUGUUUACCACUGAACUUUUUGGGUAGUACUUGCUAGUGCUAUAUGUGGUUUUGGGCAUUGAGAUACACAUUAUUCAUGAUUAUACUUUUGUUAUCCGUUGUUAUUUACUGUUCAUGUCAAGAUCAUUAAUGUUAAUUGGAACAUAGAGCUUAACUUG
rnacentral:lncRNA from 7 species